UCAGUGCAAAAGGCUACUGCUCUCUCUCUCUCUCUCUGAGCAAUUACACCCUUCUCCCACCAUUAAAUGCAAUCGCACCCUCACAAUUCGCUCGGCAAUUCUGCUCGCUAGCUGCAACAUUUGUCUCCAUCUUCUCCAGGCCCUUUCUCCUUCCUUUACUGCAUUUCUCCAUUUCCUGCUCGGAAAAUCUCUGCCUCUCUCUCUCUCUCUCUCUCUCUCUCUCUCUCUCUCUCUCUCCCCAAAACUCAUACCUGUACUUCCAAAAGCUCUUACUAAAACCACAUUUGUAGCCCCAAACAGUGGUUUCCCUGCAGCGAGUUAGCCCCAAAACAGAUCUGACCAUUAGCAUUUUUUGAAGGCUAGCUCCAAACGUUGUAUAUAUAAGUGGUGGGUGGAAUUUUUGUACAUCUCAGUCUUCGGUCUAAGGAAAGAAAGGAAGCGAAAGUGUGGAGGAGAUCAUAUAGAAAGUGAGAAGGCACAGUUGAAAUAUGAUCGUUACCGUUAACGAGCCUGCCCUCUACGCCUGUUGUUGAGUGUGCAUGAUGGGACAUGAAGAGGCACUACCGCUGUGCGUCAUGGCCGUGGGAAAUGACGGAAACGAAGAAUCACAUUGUGGGAGGGAAGAAGAGGAGUGGGCGUGGACGAUAUAAAUGGCAACGAGAAGGAAGAUGGAGCGAAGUUUCCAAAGAUUGAAUUAUGUUUUCAUUUUAAUUUUACCUUGCUGUUAACUUACGGCUGCAUACAAAUGGGUGGUGCGUAACACAUCGUUUAUCGUGCAAUCAGAUCAAUGGAAAUAAAAAGCCAAAAAUUAAAUAUUUUAAUAUUAAU